CAGAAGAACCAGUGGAUUCAGUGUUGGGGCUUCUAGCGCAUAGGUUGGAUUGCUCAGCCAAAUAGCAGAGCUAAAAUGGACCGAUGUGGGAUUCAAGUUGGUGUGAGUGCUCCUCCGAAUAGACAAUCUUCGUGGGAGCGUUCCGGCAGGCUGACGCACCUGAAGCGGAUUUCUGAAAUCGGCUGCAGGAUUCUUAAGAAGCGGUGGAGCAGCCAUUCAUCGCUCGAUGGUCCCACUUGUUGAUUUUGGAUGCUCUGCCUGGAUCCAGCUAAGUAACCACGCCCACCCGAACACUGACACCGAUCGCCCUCCGGACUAAACGCUCUCGUCUGCCGCCUGAGCCCGCAACCUUCUCGGAGCCUUUGCACCAACGGAUCCUACCUCCUCCUCGGCAAUCCUCCAUCAGAUGAUCUGUAAGCCCUUCCCUCCACUUCCCUGUCAAGAUCCUCUCACUCCCGCUCCUACUAACCUCUCCCCUCUCUAAGCAGUACCUGAGCCGCCCAGCCGCUCCCGAAACCAGAGGACAACUUAGGCUCAACAUAUUCUAUAAUAACUGUAAAUAAAUCUUUGAACCAAAAACCUUCCGGUCUGAUGUCUAAACCUGCAUGUGGGUAAAGAAACUCAAAUCCAGCAUGACAGAACCAUCGAGCCAUGUUGACCCAGCAGGUUCUCACACAAGACCCGGUUUAAGUUCAGCAGAACUCCUAGCCCGCCAUGACGCUAUGCUUCGCACUUUAUUAGACCAGCAGAGUUUCCAGGGCCAGCUGAUGGAUCAGUUGAGAACCACAGUCUCGGAAC